GAAAUGCGAUAAUUAAUGUGAAUUGCAGAAUUCAGUGAAUCAUCGAGUCUUUGAACGCACAUUGCGCCCCCUGGUAUUCCGGAGGGCAUGCCUGUCCGAGCGUCAUUGCUGCCCUCAAGCACGGCUUGUGUGUUGGGCUUCCGUCCCUGGCAACGGGGACGGGCCCAAAAGGCAGUGGCGGCACCAUGUCUGGUCCUCGAGCGUAUGGGGCUUUGUCACCCGCUCCCGUAGGUCCAGCUGGCAGCUAGCCUCGCAACCAAUCUUUUUAACCAGGUUGACCUCGGAUCAGGUAGGGAUACCCGCUGAACUUAAGC
rnacentral:misc_RNA from 1 species